AUGACCCUGAUUAAGUCGCAUAUAACCAUUGUCAGCCCUGGGGCUUUCACAAAGAUAAAACAUCUGAUAGCUCGGGUUGUUGAUUUGGAAGUUUCACUUUCCUUUGUCCCUCAACUCCAGGGUACAAGAAUAACCAUGGUCAAGUCGCUUAUCACCAGUGUCAGCCGUGAAGUUUCUAAAUUAAAGCACCAUCUGCUAGGUGCUUGUAUCAGCCUAGUGGUUAUCCUUUACCAAUACAUAAAGUCCCAUCACAGCUUUGUCAUAUUGUUGGAGAAAGAGAAAAGGAUAAUAGUAUACUACACUAUUAAUGGAGUCAAGUCCUGUCCUAUGCUGCAGCAGGAGAAGACCUUAAAGGCAGUUCUUGAUUCGGCCCUGCUUUGGACCCAGAUGACUUGCCUCUCUAUAUGGCAACCGGGCCCAAGAACAAGAUGUCCUGGAGGGUUUUACGGGGCAAACUGUUCCAACGCCUGCCCAGACACCAACUGUUACUGUCACUUAGAAACGGGCACCUGUCAGGGUUGCACACCUGGGUUCCAAGGUUACGUGUGUAAAUCAGACAUAGGGAGUAAUUUGGCCGCAAACAAAGUCAGAAACAUCGGUAGAAACCAGCUAUAUAGUUCCGUUCACCGUACAGACCUAGGGAGUAAUUUGGUUGAAGCAAAGUCUUUAAACAUCAUACAGAAGUUCAGAAAUAAUAAAAUGGGAGAAGUACAUCUUAAUUGUACCGUUGUGGAUAUCAAAGAACACCCGAAGAUACGCUCUCUUAAAACAAUGCUCUUUCUUAUAUCAAAUGCGGAUUUAUGCUAUGGAGUUCUACAAUCAAACGUUCGACGUCAAAACUGUACACAAUUUUUAUGAACAUUUCUCCGAAUGCAUAAUGUUGCCUGUUUUCUUUUUCCGAACCAAGU
rnacentral:sRNA from 1 species